AGCUCGAUAGCGCAGAGGUAGUGUGCUCUGCACUGUUCACCCCAGUGUUUGACCAUUUCAGAGAGACCCGGAGUUUGAUUCUCCAUCGAGCCA